AACACGACUCUCGGCAAUGGAUAUCUCGGCUCUCGCAUCGAUGAAGAGCGCAGCGAAAUGCGAUACGUGGUGCGAAUUGCAGAAUCCCGCGAACCAUCGAGUCUUUGAACGCAAGUUGCGCCCGAGGCCAACCGGCCAAGGGCACGUCUGCCUGGGCGUCAAGC
rnacentral:rRNA from 1 species